AAUGAGCGCUGGCGGCAUGCCUAACACAUGCAAGUCGAACGAAGGCUUCGGCCUUAGUGGCGCACGGGUGCGUAACGCGUGGGAAUCUGCCCUCAGGUUCGGAAUAACAGCGAGAAAUUGCUGCUAAUACCGGAUGAUAUCGCGAGAUCAAAGAUUUAUCGCCUGAGGAUGAGCCCGCGUAGGAUUAGCUAGUUGGUGUGGUAAAGGCGCACCAAGGCGACGAUCCUUAGCUGGUCUGAGAGGAUGAUCAGCCACACUGGGACUGAGACACGGCCCAGACUCCUACGGGAGGCAGCAGUGGGGAAUAUUGGACAAUGGGCGAAAGCCUGAUCCAGCAAUGCCGCGUGAGUGAUGAAGGCCUUAGGGUUGUAAAGCUCUUUUACCCGGGAUGAUAAUGACAGUACCGGGAGAAUAAGCUCCGGCUAACUCCGUGCCAGCAGCCGCGGUAAUACGGAGGGAGCUAGCGUUAUUCGGAAUUACUGGGCGUAAAGCGCACGUAGGCAGCUUUGUAAGUUAGAGGUGAAAGCCUGGAGCUCAACUCCAGAAUUGCCUUUAAGACUGCAUCGCUUGAAUCCAGGAGAGGUGAGUGGAAUUCCGAGUGUAGAGGUGAAAUUCGUAGAUAUUCGGAAGAACACCAGUGGCGAAGGCGGCUCACUGGACUGGUAUUGACGCUGAGGUGCGAAAGCGUGGGGAGCAAACAGG
rnacentral:rRNA from 1 species